AGGUUGAGGAAACAUGAUUUUAUUAUAAUCUGUGGUGAGGCUCCUCCCUCUGGAAUUCUCCUCCCCAAAACUUUUGGAGGGAAAAUUCAAAUGUAACAGGACACAGGACAGAUCCAGGAGCAGAGACACACAGUGUGGAGCAGGAGGAUUAUCAGAGCUGAUCUGGAGAGUCGUCUACAAACACAGAGUGACGUCCAGGUUCUGCUGGAGCUGUGGGGAAGUUCAUGAAUGUUACAGCUGAUGUUUCAGAAAAAAGGAAGAUGUUUGAGAACCAACAAACCACAGAGCACAGAUGAACAAAGGUGAUGUGGCACUAGGAGACUUUAUACCAGAUGCCCUCCCUGUUACUGUGUUUAGAGGAAGAAAAGCAGCACAUG